GAUUCAUCUGUGAUGUCCCAAAUGACAGGCUUUCUUUCUUUUUCCAGGCUGAGUAAUACUCCUUUGUUUCUUUACUGGAAGGGAUAUCAGAUACUCUAAUCCCAUAAUGCCUCAGGGGAACCAGAGUGGUGGAAACAUUAAAUGGUAUGUCUGAUGAGAAGCUGUGCUUUACAUGAAUCAUUGACUAAAAAAAGAACAGGAACAUAAAUUCUGAAGCAUGCAUGAAUGCAUCUUGAAAGCAUGAUGGAUUUCCCUUGAGCUGCCUUGGUGUCCUGUGCCCUGCAUCUUCAAGACAGUCAACCAUGUCUUAAACUCACAGUUGUGCAUCCAGAGGAAGAUGAGCAGUAGAAUAAUCUCUGGUGUAGGAUUUAAAAAUUUGCUUUCUGCUGUCUGUAGGACCUUGGGCAAUUUAAAGCUUAUCUCUAGCUGCCUUAAUCUCCUCAUAAAGAAAAAUAGGUCUACUAUCUAUAAUAUCUAUACUAUCUCUUUGUUGGCAAGACCAAUUCUAGUUAUCUUCUAUGGGCUAUAAGACAUAUAUGACCCAUACUUUUUAAAAGAAAAGACUUAUGUAUUUGUAAUGGAUUGUUUUGAAUGAGCUUUUUUAUUAUCUAAAAAUAUCCAUUAUUUUUGUAUUAAUGGUAAUAUUGAUUUUUUUGGUUGGUUGACAUUUAUUAGUUACUGAAGGCUAUAUUCAUUCAAUAAAUACUUAUU